rnacentral:rRNA from 1 species
GUAGGUGGCAAGCGUUGUCCGGAAUUAUUGGGCGUAAAGCGCGCGCAGGCGGUUUCUUUAAGUCUGAUGUGAAACGCCCACGGCUCAACCGUGGAGGGUCAUUGGAAACUGGAGAACUUGAGUACAGAAGAGGAAAGCGGAAUUCCACGUGUAGCGGUGAAAUGCGUAGAGAUGUGGAGGAACACCAGUGGCGAAGGCGGCUUUCUGGUCUGUAACUGACGCUGAGGCGCGAAAGCGUGGGGGAGCAAACAGGAUUAGAUACCCUGGUAGUCCACGCCGUAAACGAUGAGUGCUAAGUGUUAGGGGGUUUUCCGCCCCCUUAGUGCUGCAGCUAACGCAUUAAGCACUCCCGCCUGGGAGUACGGCCGCAAGGCUG